rnacentral:rRNA from 1 species
UAAUACGUAGGGUGCAAGCGUUAAUCGGAAUUACUGGGCGUAAAGCGUGUGUAGGCGGUUCGGAAAGAAAGAUGUGAAAUCCCAGGGCUCAACCUUGGAACUGCAUUUUUAACUGCCGAGCUAGAGUAUGUCAGAGGGGGGGUAGAAUUCCACGUGUAGCAGUGAAAUGCGUAGAUAUGUGGAGGAAUACCGAUGGCGAAGGCAGCCCCCUGGGAUAAUACUGACGCUCAGACACGAAAGCGUGGGGAGCAAACAGGAUUAGAUACCCUGGUAGUCCACGCCCUAAACGAUGUCAACUAGCUGUUGGGGCCGUUAGGCCUUAGUAGCGCAGCUAACGCGUGAAGUUGACCGCCUGGGGAGUACGGUCGCAAGAUUAAAACUCAAAGGAAUUGACGGGGACCCGCACAAGCGGUGGAUGAUGUGGAUUAAUUCGAUGCAACGCGAAAAACCUUACCUACCCUUGACAUGUCUGGAAA